rnacentral:rRNA from 1 species
UACGGAAGGCAGCAGUGGGGAAUAUUGGACAAUGGGCGAAAGCCUGAUCCAGCCAUGCCGCAUGAGUGAAGAAGGCCUUCGGGUUGUAAAGCUCUUUUAGUGAGAAAGAUAAUGACGGUACUCACAGAAGAAGUCCUGGCUAACUCCGUGCCAGCAGCCGCGGUAAUACGGAGAGGGCUAGCGUUAUUCGGAAUUAUUGGACGUAAAGAGCGCGUAGGCUGAUUAGUAGUUAAAAGUGAAAUCCCAAAGCUUAACUUUGGAAUUGCUUUUUAAAACUGCUAGUCUAGAGAUUUGAAAGAGGAUAGAGGAAUUCCUAGUGUAGAGGUGAAAUUCGUAAAUAUUAGGAGGAACACCAGUGGCGAAGGCGUCUAUCUGGUUCAAAUCUGACGCUGAGGCGCGAAGGCGUGGGGAGCAAACAGGGAUUAGAUACC